rnacentral:lncRNA from 1 species
UCUUUACUACUCUUGCAGUUCAACCAAGAGUGCUUUCCAAUGUUUCACAAUUUGACUCAUUGGGAGAUCAACUUUGGGAUCAAUAUUAACUGGCUUUGUGUGAUUGAAAUGGUGUUCCUCCCAUGAUUUGGACUUGCCCACAAUUUGCUCCUGAAUGCAUUUCUUCACAACAUAGAAAGUGCACUAUUUUGAAUUAUAAAGGCAAGAAAUGUGAGCUACAAUUUGCAAAAUAUAUAAUACAAAAUUCAAGAGCUUUACAAACCAUGUCAAUCGAAUUUUUUUUCCAAUCAUCGAUAUAAUUUCCUCAAACCCACAACGCAAGCAAGAAAUGCUGCAAGAAUUGUCCAUGGGCCUGCAAGGAGCUCGACAACUUGCAAACUUAUGUAAAUGGUAAUUGGUAGAGUUAUAAGUAGAUACUAAUUGUUCUUGGAUGAUUAAAUUUUCAAAAAAAUUUCUGCAUGCUCAUGGUUUUGGUGGUUUUUGGAACAUUGAUAUUGUAUUAGCUGGUCAAAUACUUGUAGUAUAUAUUUAAUUAAGUAUUAGAAAAUAAAAAUUAAAAUAUGUCACGACUAAAAAGUGUAAGAGAUGGAUUUCAAACCCAAGAUCUCAUGGUUGCAAGAAUCAAUGAAUACCAAUAAAAUUAUUGGGUUAUUUAGUAUAAUAAUAACAUAUAUAAAUUUAUAAAUAUCAUACUGAGUCAUACGAGUCAAUUAUUGACUCAUUAGGUCAAUCUUUAACCCCGUAUUUCAAUCGAGUUGAUGAUCGAUCUGAAUCUGAUAACACUAAUUUAUAGUAUACAUCAUUAAGUUAGCAUAUAAAUUAUAUUAAUCUCAUAACACUGAAAAUAAAAGUAACUUAGAAUUGUUAGAACGAUGACUUAUAGCCUGCCACACUUGGUUAAGUCUUGCAUGGUGCUAGAGUUUUGCUGAAACAUUGGAUAUAACAAUAUAGUAAUGAAUGACUGUCUUUUUUCAGCUUUGGUCUUUUUGUGCAUUUUUACAAAAGUAUCAGUUCUUUAAACAUAUUGCACUUGGAAAAGAAAGAUGUUAUUUGGAAAAGUAAAAUUAUUUUUUUAUAGUACAUGUGGAAAAGAAAAACAAAAUGUUGGACGAAUGUAAGGGUAGGGGGAAACGAUUUUGUCAAUUUUUCCCUUUUCCCAUUUGAGGUGUCUCAUUCAGCAUGUGGUUUGGUCAGAGAGAAAAGAAUAACAUUCGCAGUUGUAGUGGAUGAUGCAUUAGUUAUUGGAGGUGUAUUAGCCAGAAAUCGUCAAAGCAUAGUAACUUAACACACAUAAGCCAACAUCACAAGAAGAAAACAAAAGACUGAAUCCAUAAAAAUGAACAACUAACCAAGUUCAGAUGGACCAACAUACCUCGCAGAAAGGGACGAAAAGCAAUACAGGUACAUGGUUUGUGGCAAAUGAACAACAAAAACUACAAAGCAACCACAACGCAGUUAUUAUUCCUUCCUCUCUUCCGAAAGUGAUGAACCACGUCAGGAAAAAGGAUCCAAGUACUUAGUCCUGACGAUACUCCCACAAACGGACAAUAAAAGAGUCAAGUUUCAUGAUUUUCAGCAAACACAACUCUAGGUCUUCUUUCGUCUCCAACGAAACCAGAUGAGGAAGGAGGUCUCAAAUGGGAAUAGGGGGAACUUGUGAAAAUCG